GUUCACGAUAGCCAAGACAUGGAAGCAACCUAAAUGCCAUCAAAAGAUGUAUGGCUAAAGAAAAUAUGGCAAACACAUAAAAUGAAAUGUUAUUCAAGCUUAAAAAAGAAGGAAAUCCUGCCAUUUGUGACAAUAUGGAUGAACCUGGAAGGCAUUAUGCUAAGUGAAAUAAGCCAGACAGCAGGAAAAAUACUGCGUGAUACCACUUACAAGAGGAAAGUAAAUCAUAGAAGCACAUCACGAGAUCUACCACCUGUGGAAGUAUUUCAAGUGCUCUGGCUUCUGAUUUCUGGGACUUCCCUGGUGGCGCAGUGGUUAAGAAUCUGCCUGCCAAUGCAGGGGACACAGAUUCGACCCCUGGUCCAGGAAGAUCCCACAUGCCGUGGAGCAACUAAGCCUGUGCACCACAACGACUGAAGCCCGUGUGCCUAGAGCCCAUGCUCCGCAACAAGAGAAGCCACCGCAAUGAGAAGCCCGUGCACCACAACGAAGAGUAGCCCCCGGAAGAGUAGCUCCUGCUCGUCACAACUAGAGAAAGCCAGAAAGCCUGCGUGCAGCAAUGAAGACCCAACGAGCCAAAAAUUAAAUAAAAUUAAAAAAAAUUCAA